UGAGACUCUUUAACUGGUUCUGUUGGACUGGUUAACCUGCAUCCUGUUGGCUUCAGCUCAUCUUUUAUUCUUUAUUCAGAUUGAAUUACUGCAGGUUGUCAAAGAUCAGCUGUGAUUUUCUGGCCUCAGCUCUGAAGUCCAACAGCCUCCAUCUGACAGAACUGAACCUGGAAGGAAACAACCUGAAGGAUUCAGAUGUUCAGCAGCUGAAGGAUCUUGUAGAUAAUUUAUGGUAAUAAAGUAGAGAACGGUCUCUGUGUCCUGCUGAUCCUCAGAGGUUGAAGCUGCAGCAGUUUGAGUCUAAAGAGACUCUGACUGGAUCCUGAUGAUGACCUCUGACCUCCAAGAUUUUCCUCCUGUUUAUUUUCUCAUGUCUGUCAUUUAGUGUCUGAUAUUGUUUGUCUCUUUGGAUCAAUAAAGAUCCGAUUCAAACUGGGCUCCAUUUAGAGGCUUCAUGGAGUUUUGAUCUGAACUGGAUUCAACUGGAAAGUUGAUCUUUUUUCUCUCUGAUUCAUUUU